GUUGACGUUUCAAUGCAGGAGUGUGUUUUAUAUGUAGUGUUGAAGUUUGAAUGGAGGGGUGUAUUUGUAUUUAAAGUUGCGGCUCAGAUGCACAGGUACACACUCUGACGCACAAGCAGAUACACAGAUACAUACACUGACUACAUACAGAUAAACAGGCACAUACACUGACAGACAUACUGACACAGGUACAUAUAUUGACACACACACACACAUACACUGGUAGACGUACUGACAGACAUACUGACACAGGCACAUAUACAGACAUACUGACACACAGACACA
rnacentral:lncRNA from 1 species